GAUUUCUGGUUGUUCUUCACCUAGCAUCGUCCACGGUUUCGUGUGUCAGUAUGUUUUGGUGACAACCAUCCUUGUCGACCUAUCUUAUUCUAUGGGCUUCAUUGCUUGUAGACUAGAUCGACAUCGGUUACUUUGAAAAAAUUAGAGUGUUUCAAGCAGGCUUAAUGCUAUGAAUACAUUAGCAUGGAAUAAUAAUUUAGGACUUCGGUUCUAUUUUGUUGGUUUAUUGAACUGAAGUAAUGAUUGAUAGGGACAGUUGGGGGUGCUAGUAUUCAGCGGCCAGAGGUGAAAUUCUUGGAUUCGCUGAAGACUCACUUAUGCGAAAGCAUU
rnacentral:rRNA from 1 species